AGGAUGCCACACCGAGGAUGUGGACAAGUAUCAAAAUGACAUUUCGAACAACGAUGAAGGCAAUGGUACAGCAACGUGGAGCAAUUGCUAUAAAAAUACUGGAAGCCUCAGUGUUUGAGGCAGAGAACAAUGGUGCCAUGUGUUCUACUCAAAAAUCACCGAUUCCAGGGCCUUCAAUCACCAAUUGGUGUGACAGCUGCUCCAGGUGGUUUGACACACAGUGCCUCCAGAUGAACACAGAGCAGUUUUGGAAAACAGAGGCUAGAGAAUGGGACUGCUCUCUGUGUGAAAAAUACGUUUUUGAAGUCUUUGUGUCCUUAUGAAUAAUGUAUAUAAUGCUGAAUAAUUUCAUGUAACUUUAAGUGUUUUUAUCAGACUCUCAGGAAAGAAUGUAAUUUGUUUUUACAUUCUUGGUACUUGGAUAUGGGGAAUUAAUAGAUAGUUAUUGAUAUAUUUUCAUUAUGUUCUCUAUUUCAAACUCUAACUUAAGCUUGGUUAUACUUUUGUAUUAUAUUCUUUGUACAUGUCCUUUAAUACAUUUUUGAUAACAUAAAACUAAAUUCUGAGAGAAAUCAGUAUUUUUCAAUACAGAAUGCCCAAAUGUUUCUUAAAUUGAUUUGGCAGGCAGCGUUACAUUAGUAAAAUAAAAUAUAUCACAUUAGAAAACUUGGGUUAAUAGCUUUGAACAGAGGAACCAAGUUUGACCAAAAAUGACAAAUAUUAUUUUUCAUUUUAUUAAUUUUUUUUGACUAUUUUAAGUGGAUUUGUGGUAUAAAAGCAGAAUGACAGAAUGUUAAAAGAAGUUACAUUUAACCGCUCUGAGCUGGGAAUUGGGUUCUCCGGCUGUUUGAAGCCAUGGAACUUUUGACUUUUCAUGCAAGCUAAACACUAUGAGCCAAUAAAUAUAAUAAAAGAACAUAAACAUGGUGUCCUGGGUCUUUGACCCUGCAUAUUCAGUUUUAGGAUGUUUAUUUAACUUUAAACUUAUGACUUGUUCUUUUGGAGUUUUAGAUGUGGAUUAUAUUUGGGCUGUGUCUCUAGUCCUUUCACUAUAAUAUUGUGUCAUUGUGCUUCUAAGUGUCCCUUUGUUUCCACUCAGUUCAUAUGUCUUAGUCCUAAUCUAUGUUUGUUACUUCCUGUUUUAUUUAUGUUGGCAAUUUUAUUAUUUUGAUAUCUUGUAUAUAUUGUGUGUGUUGUUUAGUUUUGCGUUCCCUUGUCUCGUUAGUAAGAUUCUGUUCAGCUGUGUUCCCUGGUGUUUCUCAUGUCCCUAAUAACCUGGCAUAUAUAUGUUGUCUGAGUUUUUGUUUUUUGAUCAUGUUACUCCUCCUGGGUGUGUUCACUCUAACAGUAUGUUUUCCCUGUUAAGUGGAAGGCUUGAUUUUUUU